rnacentral:rRNA from 1 species
CGGGGGGCGGGCCUAAUACAUGCAAGUCGAGCGGACAGAAGGGAGCUUGCUCCCGGAUGUUAGCGGCGGACGGGUGAGUAACACGUGGGUAACCUGCCUGUAAGACUGGGAUAACUCCGGGAAACCGGAGCUAAUACCGGAUAGUUCCUUGAACCGCAUGGUUCAAGGAUGAAAGACGGUUUCGGCUGUCACUUACAGAUGGACCCGCGGCGCAUUAGCUAGUUGGUGAGGUAACGGCUCACCAAGGCGACGAUGCGUAGCCGACCUGAGAGGGUGAUCGGCCACACUGGGACUGAGACACGGCCCAGACUCCUACGGGAGGCAGCAGUAGGGAAUCUUCCGCAAUGGACGAAAGUCUGACGGAGCAACGCCGCGUGAGUGAUGAAGGUUUUCGGAUCGUAAAGCUCUGUUGUUAGGGAAGAACAAGUGCAAGAGUAACUGCUUGCACCUUGACGGUACCUAACCAGAAAGCCACGGCUAACUACGUGCCAGCAGCCGCGGUAAUACGUAGGUGGCAAGCGUUGUCCGGAAUUAUUGGGCGUAAAGGGCUCGCAGGCGGUUUCUUAAGUCUGAUGUGAAAGCCCCCGGCUCAACCGGGGAGGGUCAUUGGAAACUGGGAAACUUGAGUGCAGAAGAGGAGAGUGGAAUUCCACGUGUAGCGGUGAAAUGCGUAGA